rnacentral:tRNA from 1 species
AAGGUUUUAAGUUAAACAAACUAUUAGCCUUCAAAGCUGACAUUAAAGAAAAUACUUUAAACCUUA